rnacentral:rRNA from 1 species
GUUUGAUCCUGGCUCAGGAUAAACGCUGGCGGCGUGCCUAACACAUGCAAGUCGAACGAGCUUUCUGUCUUCGGAGAGAGAGCGAGUGGCGGACGGGUGAGCAACACGUGGGUAACCUACCUUCCAGUGAGGAAUACCGGCGAGAAAUCGCCGACAAUACCGCAUGCGCUUCCCUUCGUGAGGAAGAGAAGCAAAGUCUCGCGCAAGUGAGACGCUGGAAGAUGGGCCCGCGGCCGAUUAGCUGGUUGGUGGGGUAACGGCCUACCAAGGCGACGAUCGGUAGCUGGUCUGAGAGGACGAUCAGCCACACUGGGAUUGAGAACGGCCCAGACUCCUACGGGGGGCAGCAGUGAGGAAUUUUCGGCAAUGGGGGCAACCCUGACCGAGCAACGCCGCGUGCAGGAAGACGGUUUUCGGAUCGUAAACUGCUUUUCUCUGGGAAGAGUAAGGACGGUACCAGAGGAAUCAGCCCCGGCUAACUACGUGCCAGCAGCCGCGGUAAUACGUAGGGGGCGAGCGUUGUCCGGAUUUAUUGGGCGUAAAGGGCCCGCAGGCGGUCGGAUAAGUUUAGGGUUACAGCUCCUGGCUCAACUGGGAGAGCGCCUUGAAGACUGUUCGACUUGAGGACUUCAGAGGGACACAGAAUUCCGGGUGUAGUGGUGAAAUGCGUAGAUAUCCGGAGGAAUACCAAAGGCGAAGGCAGCGUCCUGGGGAGUACCUGACGCUGAGGGGCGAAAGCUAGGGGAGCGAACGGGAUUAGAUACCCCGGUAGUCCUAGCCGUAAACGAUGACCACCAGGUGUGCGGGGUAUCGACCCCCUGCGUGCCGGAGCUAACGCACGAAGUGGUCCGCCUGGGGAGUACGGUCGCAAGAUUAAAACUC